UGUUCCUAUUGUCCAAAUAACUUGAAAUUUUUACUGUAAUAACUUCAGCAUGAGUAGGAGGUUUCUGUAAAAUUUCAGCUAAAUUGGACACCGUUAGAUAUGUCAAACAAUUUUCUUAAAAGUACUGCGCGAAGCAGCAAGGUUCUGUGGCAGAUUCUGCAUUUUGUGAGAUAAUUUCUUAUACACUUGAGAAGAUAUUGUAUUUUUGUAACUUUCUAAUAAAGAUAGACUUUAAUAGCUUUCUUAAAAGGUAAAGCUUGCAUUUUUCUUUGAAAAUGUUGAUUUUAUAUGAUUUUUCAAAGUUGAGAUAAUGAUUUUUCAAAGUUGAGAUUCAUGUUUCUUACUUGAGAAAGUUAUGAAUAGAAUUAUGCUAAGUAAUUGAUGUUUCAGUUAUUCCCUUCUUCAUUCCCUCGGACUAUAUUCAACUAUACGGUAUAUAUGUAACGUUGUGAGAGAGAGCAGAGUUGAAAUAUCUCUUUCAUAUUUCUUUUAUUUAAGAAGCUCGGGUUGGCUAUGUUUUGCAGGUGAACUCGCUCGUGUUGGUGCAGGUUCAUUAUUGUGAUUGAGUUUAUCAUCUUGGCGGAUCAAGUAGAUGGGAGUCGAUGAGCUAUGAGGACUACUACAAACGAGAAGGCUGAAGCAGAGAACGUCGUUUCAAAUGUCUAGCAAGUUGCGCGCAUUUGUAAUAUUUUUUAAUUAAACAUCUAGCUAAAUAGAAUAUAUGUGAAGUUUUCAUUAUAUUUGGAUGAUAAUGUAUGAAUAUUUUGGAUGAUAUAUAAUAUUGUUAUUGUUGAUUUUA